UUGUUUUUCUGAAGCGAAGGGAUUUUAAGAACGGCAACACACAGAAAGCGGAAGGUGAGGGACAUCACGCUCCGGAUGUCAGGCAAUUAUCCUGGAAACAUACUUCCGUUGAUCCAUACUACAGAGAUCUGGACUAUCUGCAUUUUCAUGACACUUUACAAAGAGAUUAAUAAACAAUAAUAGAGUUGUAUCAGCAAAGACUUGAAAAAUGGCAGAUGAUGUCAAACACCUGCCUUUGUAAAUAAACUUGUUAUAAUAUCCAAAGGAGAUUAGAUUAACAGGAAU